rnacentral:rRNA from 1 species
GCGUGUGUGAUGAAGGCCUUAGGGUUGUAAAGCACUUUCAACGGUGAAGAUGAUGACGGUAGCCGUAGAAGAAGCCCCGGCUAACUUCGUGCCAGCAGCCGCGGUAAUACGAAGGGGGCGAGCGUUGUUCGGAAUUAUUGGGCGUAAAGGGCGCGCAGGCGGUUUGGAUAGUUAGACGUGAAAGCCCUGGGCUUAACCUAGGAACUGCGUUUAAUACUGCCAAACUAGAGAACUAGAGAGGAUAGCGGAACUCCCAGUGUAGAGGUGAAAUUCGU